ensembl:lncRNA
ACCACUUGAGUAGAUUUACUGAAGUUAAUUUGUUUGACAAGUCCUAUGAAUUAGAGAAGUGAUUUGUCAUAUAGUGUCAUAUUUCUUUUCUGUGUAUUUGUACCUUGCAUAACAAGAUGGGAAUGUGGUCCAGUUCUAGGGCUCCAUCACCCACCCCCUCCUCCUCCUCAGCAUUGCCAGCACUACCCAACACCGUCAUUCAAAAAGAAACCAUGCUUCUUGUCUGAAACAUAAGAAAGGAGUAACUUGUAGAGGCAGCAGCAAGGACACAGGAUGGGAUUGAGGCUGCAAUGGUGGGGACUGGAUGUAUUGAUUUCCAACUGUAGUAUUUCACAUACAUGAAUUUAACCUCUUCAGGAAGCCUGACAGGCUGAAUCUCAUGCUCCUUGCCUAAACAACCACGAAAGGAGUUGGACCUCUUCUGUGAAAAGAAGUUUGCUUCAAAGAUUUCAUCAAAAACGAUUUUGAGUGCCGCAGUUCAUUGUAGUCACCACCUCUCAAGAAGACUGAAGAUAAACAACAAAACAUGGACAGUGUUUUGGGGGCUAACUUAUGUCUUUUCACAAAAGUCUCUGUCUGUAGAAAAAACACUCUUUUUUCUUGAGCGGUUUGUUUAGCAUUUCAGUCCCCUACUGUGAUUGCUGAAUUCAGUUACUACUGACUAGUGAGAUUUUAUUGCCAGUCAGUUCAUUUCAACCUGAAGAACACUGGCUUUGGCCUCUUGUUUUGUUUUGUUUUGUUUUUCCACUGUUUUUUGCCAAUGCAGCUGAAAUGAACAUGGCCACCUUUGUUUAGCUGCUUCUGUUUGCCAGGGAAAGUUAUCUCAGUAUACCAAGCCCCCAGUAUUUUCAUACUGGAGUCUGUGAUUAAGUCACUGAAACUGUGAGAAUAGCAUUCAAAAAUUGGAUAUUGCUGCAAAAACACAGGCUUCACCAGACAUGAUUUUUAUAGGUCUUAUAAAAACAACAGAUUUUUAUUAAAUAUGUUUGAAUAACAAUAGAAUAGAUGUUGACGAAUUUUGGUAUUUGGACUAUCAGAUGUUUCCCAUAGCAUUAGUAAAAGUAGAUUUAGGCCUUUGCACUACUGAAUAAUAUUUUCAGGGUUCCCAGCACACUGACUGUAUAUCACUGCAGUGUUCUUUUUUAUUUUCCAAGGCUGAAAACUGAACACAGACUUCCCAAAAGCCAAACUUUUUGAACUCUGAACUGUGUGACCCAAGCAAAAGAUCUGAAAUACAGAGCCAAGACAACAUGUUGUGUUCUGUUGGGGUUUUUUUCCACUCUCUCUUAAUUGUCAAUCACCCUGUUCUCCAGAAAUUUCCAAAUAUAGCAUUAUUUUGUCUAGUACCCACCACCUUUUGGCCAACAAGACAAAUUCCUCUCCUUGUAGCAACGUUAAUGGGGAAUGCAAUCUUGGAAUGUGAUAUCAAGUCUCUACCUCAUUCUUCUCUUUUAAGUUACCCUCCAUGCACACACCAGAAUUCAACUAAGUCAUUGACGGAGCAAUUAAAACCCUUUCACAUAGGUUGAAAGAUAUCCCAUAUGCGUGGAUGUUUGAAAACACAUGCUCUUUCAUGCAGUACCUCUGCAUGAUGUUUGCUCUCUGCUAGCAUAUGUAUGAACUGGAGCCAAAUUUUUCUACAGUUACUAAUAAUGUCAAGGGUUCCAGAUUUCAGAUGCCCAACUUGAGGCAAUUAAAGGUGAGUAAUUCCUUGUCUAAGAAAUUUUCAUGAGCUCAGCCUCAAAAUGAACACUCUAAUAUUGCUUUAGCUCCUUGUAAUUAUUGAGCCCUUCGCUGAACCUGGUGUGGAAUUCUGAGGCCUCUUCUAAAGGAGACAAAAAAGUGUCUGAAAAGCAAAUUCCAUCUCUUCUGUUUUUCUGAGAAAUGAAUGCUAGUGCACAGAUAGCUUCAUUGACCUAUUCCUAUUGAGGAAAGGCUUACACAAGCUACAUGUUGUCCUGAGUGCCCCAAGGGCUUUCCUCUCCAUGUUAUGGAGGUUGGUGAGGUUCUUCAACAACUUCUUGAGUAGAGCACUUCUGUCAUCUCCUCAGCCCUUAUCCUAUAAGGUUUUGCCUAACUUCAGCUCUCCCAGACUUAUAUAGAAGAAUCACAGAAAAAAUGGUUUGCAGGGUAUGUUUUAUUUUUGUAGCAGGUAUUGGAAAAAAAAGUUUUGGAAAUUAGGUAUUUUAAAAUAAGAAAAAUUAAUAUUUGGUCUUAUUCUCAAGAUGUUUUUUUAACAGCUGUUUUCAUUGUCUUUUAAUAAUGGCAAUUGUAGUGCAAUGGAAGGGAAACAUCAAAUAUUUGGAGAAUGUAGAAAGAUAG